UCAUGGCUCAGGAUGAACGCUAGCUACAGGCUUAACACAUGCAAGUCGAGGGGCAUCGAGAGGAAAGCUUGCUUCCUGUCGGCGACCGGCGCACGGGUGAGUAACGCGUAUCCAACCUUCCCCUUAGUAGGGCAUAGCCCGGCGAAAGUCGGAUUAAUACCCUAUGUUUUCCGAUGAGGACAUCUGAGCUGGAAUAAAGAUUUAUCGCUAAGGGAUGGGGAUGCGUCUGAUUAGGUAGUCGGCGGGGUAACGGCCCACCGAGCCAACGAUCAGUAGGGGUUCUGAGAGGAAGGUCCCCCACAUUGGUACUGAGACACGGACCAAACUCCUACGGGAGGCAGCAGUGAGGAAUAUUGGUCAAUGGGCGAGAGCCUGAACCAGCCAAGUAAGCGUGCAGGAUGACGGCCCUAUGGGUUGUAAACUGCUUUUAUCGGGGGAUAAAGUGAGGGACGCGUCCCUUUUUGUAGGUACCCGAUGAAUAAGGACCGGCUAAUUCCGUGCCAGCCGCUGC
rnacentral:rRNA from 1 species